UGAAAGGGUGCGGUAAGAGCGCACCGCGGCCCUGGUAACAGGGCUGGCAGGGUAAACCCCACCGGGAGCAAGACCAAUAGGGAUGGUUGCCUUAAGUGGCAGGCGGGUUUCUGCGCCACCGUCCGGGUCGGUUGCUUGAGCGGCAUGGCAACAUGUCGCCUAGAGGAAUGGUCAUCACCAGUUUACUGGUACAGAACCCGGCUUACACGCCAUCUGCCGCU
rnacentral:RNase_P_RNA from 1 species